rnacentral:misc_RNA from 1 species
GGCCAACAUGAUCGCCAGAUCGUUGAGCUGCAUUGGCGGGAUUUCGCCGUCUACGUUUCUCUUUCUUCGCGGACGAACACGCGCUGGGGCUGCAAGCUUGCAGAAUCCCUGGUCCUUAACAGGAUAAGCGUUAGGGGCUUGUAGCUCAGUUGGUUAGAGCGCGCGCUUGAUAAGCGUGAGGUCGGAAGUUCAAGUCUUCCCAGGCCCACCACUUUCAUCGAGUGAGCAUUCGUCUUCUGGUUACGGGGCCAUAGCUCAGCUGGGAGAGCGCGUGCUUUGCAAGCAUGAGGUCGUCGGUUCGAUCCCGUCUGGCUCCACCAGAUGGUUUGAUCACCGAGAUCUUGUACCGUCGUCCGCGAAACAUCACUUCGCAUCCUGCUAGUCUGGAUAGACAGCAAGAUGCGUGUUUUCUGACAUCGUAAAGAGGAGAUCGAUCCGAGUUGGGUCGUGCAGCAGGUUGUUGCGCGGAUCCUUCAUUAUCUCCGGAUCAUUUUCGGCGCUCGACGCUGACCGCAAGGUUGGCUCUCGAGUUGUAAAAUGAUCCUUUUAGCGAAGCUUGACCGCCUCGCUAUCGGAACGAUCUUACGAAGCAAGCUGGUCUUUCUAGUCAAUGUCCGGCUGCACAUAGCGUUCAUCGAGGGCGCGCGUCGCAAGACAAUUGUGCAGACAACAUUCUGCCGAGUGUGUGGACAUUGAUAAUGAGAGCAAUCAAGUGCCUUAAGGGUGUUCGGUGGAUGCCUUGGCGCUGAGAGGCGAUGAAGGACGUGCUACGCUGCGAUAAGCCGUGGGGAGCUGCGAAGAAGCUUUGAUCCGCGGAUUU